CAUGUAGAAAGGCCUGAUGUCUUCAGAAAGGACAUGCUAAGAUUCAGAAAAAGAGAAUGUACUGUGGAACAAAUUGUCCAGGCAGCUCAUGAUGGUGAACCAGCAAAACUGCACAGCUGUUGGGUGCAUGCAGUGUUGGGUCUGCACCUGCUGUUGGUGGGUCAUACAACUAAAAGGGCACGUUAAGGCACCUAUGCUAUUUCCUGGGAAAACAGAAAUGAAUGUACUUUUAUGAGGGCACCCAGUCUUUGUAAGCCUGCCUAUCUAUGUCUAAUUGCAUAGUUAGAAAAGAUCAAUGCUGCUGGUUUUGUCUCAGGUAUGAAGAUUGAGUUCAGCUGAGAGCAUCAAGGCAAUAAAAUGAGAAAAGCCGAGUCUUGCCUUUUGAAAGCUGGCAAAACAUGGGUGCUGUUUUCUUACUGGAGUGGGUUUGUUUUCCCUAAAAGCAGAAGUAAAUGGAAACAUCCCUAUGGUGAUGUCCUGAACAACAGGUUAUGCUGCCAUUUCUCCUGCUAUUAAAACCCUGUCGUGUGUGUGCCCCGCAGAGCAGAAGCAGUUUGCAAGCUGGCCUGGAGUCUCUUCUCAGCUCAACUGCCUGCAGGUAGUUGGAGCACGUGGAGCCCAUGCUUAACUCUGCAUUUGAUAUGAAAUUUUGAAAAUCCCCCUGCUGAUCUGAGUGAGGACCUCAUCUCUGAGAGGGCUGCCAGUGCCUUGCGCUUGGACUGGACAUCUCCAGUGCUCAGCUGCUGAACAGAAAAGGUUUUGCUGUUUCUGUUUCACAGAAAAUGUUCUGUGAAAUCGAGCAUCUUCCUCCAUUUCCCUGUCUGUAGGGAAAGAAAGAGCUUUACAAAGGAAGGCUGUGCCCUCUCUGCCACAACACUAGAGCUCACCCCAUGGUUCACACGAGAAGUACCAGCACAUAUGAGGGACCUGUACUGUGGUGUUCCUCGCCUCAGAUAAAGAGAAGUCAGCUCUCCUGCCUGGCAGCUGUCCACAGUGGCGUGCAAGUUCAAAUAAAGAGAUGGUUGGCAAGAAAGCAUUUUUACUUUCACGUUGAGGGAAGAUUUCCUGGGAUUUCCCCUUCUUGUUUUGCCUCUGUUGCUACUAUAAAUGUGUAUAUAAUAGUGGAUUUUCCUCCAGGUUGAGUGCAAGAUAUUUUAAUUACCUGCCUUACUUUUAUUUUUCAUUUUGAGCUUGCUUUGCUUCUAUCUCACAAGAAAAAAAAAAAUUCAGAAACUU